rnacentral:rRNA from 1 species
CCUACGGGAGGCAGCAGUGAGGAAUAUUGGUCAAUGGCCGGAAGGCUGAACCAGCCAUGCCGCGUGAAGGUCAGUGCCCUAUGGGCGUUAAACUUCUUUUGUGCGGGAGCAAUAAUGGUCACGUGUGGCCAGACGAGAGUACCGUACGAAUAAGCAUCGGCUAACUCCGUGCCAGCAGCCGCGGUAAUACGGGGGAUGCAAGCGUUAUCCGGAUUUAUUGGGUUUAAAGGGUGCGUAGGCUGUGAGGUAAGUCAGCGGUGAAAUGCCCCCGCUCAACGGGGUGAAGUGCCAUUGAUACUGCCUUGCUGGAAUGCGGAUGCCGUGGGAGGAAGGUGUGGUGUAGCGGUGACAUGCAUAGAUAUCACACAGAACACCGAUUGCGAAGGCAUCUCACGAAUCCGCGAUUGACGCUGAUGCACGAAAGCGUGGGUAUCAAACAGGAUUAGAUACCCGGGUAGUC